CUUUGCAGAUAGCGGGGAGCCAUUCACGGCCCAGCGUUUCCUUGUUGUUGCAAAAAUGUGUUUAGACCCAACCUACCUUAUCCACCAAUCACAGGAGAGCGUUUCCUCCCACUGUAUCUCCAGCUCAUCCACGGCUUCACGAGGAGAAGGUAAAAAGAUUUACGGUUUUUUUUAACACGAAGAGACGGUAAACAGUCGACUGUAUUGUCGCCUUCCCACCUGCCGCCAUGUUUUUACUGACGCGUAGGACUUAAGAACCUAUUUUAGGUGAUAUUAAACAUUUUUUGUUAGACCCUAUUGCUGUUCGCUUUGUGCUGAAGCUUGUUUUCAGUUGAUACUAACCAGUUACAAAGUGACGCUAAACGAUGAGAUAAGACAAUAAGAGCUGGAGAUGGAUGAGGGAGCCGUCGGAGUAGAUUAUUCCAUCUGGAAUCUCCUGAAAUCUACAGCCACAGCCAUCCUGCUCAGGAAGAGCAACGAUGAUGUUAAGCUUGGACUUUGCUUCACUUUUUGGACAGUGAUAUCAUUUAGCUUUGAUUUACUGUUAAAAAUGUAGACAGUGCGGUGUUUUCAGUCGAUUUAAAAAGUCUUUCUCGCCUUAUUUCUCCACAAAUGGGGUGUAGAAUUAUCCUAGCAAAUGCGGGUAUGGCAGAUAUGAUAAACGAAAACAUCAUUUAGACAAGUUAUGAUUUGUGAGUAGGAACGCAGCAAUAUGCUCUUACCCUAAAGGGAAAUUUUCUCUUAUUGUCUACCUUCUGCUGCGGGAGGUCUCCAUCAUCCUAAUGAUGUAGGCUCCCCUUUACUAUCAAAAAGCGUAAAUAGAGAUCCUUUCUUGUGCCGUUUAGGAUGCAGCACCAUUAUUAGCCUCAUACUCAUACCAUAAUGAAGAUGAAGAAAGAUCAAUUUUAUUUGUACUCUGCAGCAAUGAAAGUAAAUUUCUCGUUCUUUCCACAGGCGAAUACUGAGUGGCUUCCUUCAGAGUUCAGCCUCCCCUCUCUCUCUUCUUCUGUGGUGCUUUAAAGGAGCGAUUUAAAUCCGCAAGUAUUCAUCAACAGAUUUUUUUGAAAUCGAAACUCGUUUACAUGCAUUAGACGUCCCGAGCCUCGUCCUCGGGCUUACAGCUAUUUUUUUUUUUUCUUUCCUUUUUUGUGUUUUGCAGCAGAUAUUACAGCUGUUUAGCGAACCGAUAGUUAUCCCGACUGGUUGCGCUUAUUGCUCAAGAAGAGGAAACAAUGGGGACACUUGAUUUUUACAGCCUGCGUCUGGUGAUCCUUUUGCCUUUUUCUUUUACUUUUUUUCUUGUUUAUCUGCAUGUUUUUAAGCAAAUUCUUCCUUUUCAAGGGGUUUACUUGGAUGCUGUCCCCAGAGAUUACCAAUGCUUAGCUGAUCAGCUCUCAUCUUGUGCCUUUUGUGACGUUAUCAAACCUAAUCUAAUCAUACCAGAUUUUUUUGAUUUUUUUUUUUAUUUCUUUUGGUUAUUAAGAACUGUAUGUUGUAAAACCCUGCAGUACAAAUCCAUGCUUCUUUUAUUUCCAGUUUUAUUGUCAGUGAAAACAAAAAUACGCCAUUGGACGCCAUUUUUAAUGGAAACAACGAGAACAUGCGCAGAAGACGUUUUCUCAGCGUUUUAUUGAGAGCUUUCAGGCACGAACAGGAGAAGAUGAACAUUACGCUGCAUUUGUGUCGAGAUCAAAAUGGUGCAACUUUCAAGUGUUUCUAGCAAGCUCUUCCCUCUCACCGUGACAUAAGCUAAUAACACGGUGUGAAUGAAUAACAUAAACAGGGCUUGCUAUUAACUAAACUACGUCGGAAGUCAAAAAGAAAAAAAACUUACAGGUUACAUCUACUAUAGAAAUCCUCGUCUAUUCACUGACACAUAUUUGUCAUUUUUCUUCUUAGAAACGGGGAGCAAAAACCAUCUCUCGUGUGAAUGGGCUAAUUGAAACAGGUAGGCCCUUAAGGAAUGGAGGUCACUUUAUCUGUAGACCUUGCUCCACUCAGAGGGAGUCAAUAAUCACUGCUGACACGUCCCAGGGGCCUCGCAGUGUUCUGCAUUCAUCCGUACAGGUUCAGAGAUAAGUCGUAAGGUUCCAAGGUAAAUGACAUGUUGAGGUGACACGAGGUUCAAACUGUGCAGUGUUUUUCAAUAAAGAUUUAAUUAGGUCUUUAUGUGGUAAUUGAGGUUUUUAAAUCUUGCUUUCCAGUUGCUUAUACUGAGCGUUCUUACAGAACUGUUGAAAGUUACUGUUCCUUAAAGGGAAAUUUGCCAUCAACACCUUCUACCAUCUCUGAGCAGGUGCAAGUGGAGGAAAGGAAGGCAAAGGCGGGUACUUGCCUUGAUUUUGUGGGUAAAUAUUUUGUUUUGUGAUCUCGGUCCCAUCCGUACAUUAAGGCUACUCAGUGCAACUGGUAUGGUGACAGUAGCUCAGCAUAUGUAGAGUGGAAUGUAAAGACUGGGAGGGGACUUGCGUUGUUUGGAGUUUAUUUAGAAAUUUGAUGCAGAAGUUAAUGAAAUCCUUCACAGUUGAUAGAAUUUAAAUAGUUUGAAGCUCAGAAAGUAAAUAAAAUCAAGGACCACAUCUAGAUUUGACAUCUACCCCCUACGUUCAACACUUUUGUUGUACAAAAGUAAACAUUAAACAGAUACGUAUACUAAGAGCUACGAACAAGACUUUUUCUGACAGCAGGAAGCCAUUGAAAACACUACAAAUGUUGGCUUAAAACAAAAACUGGUGAGAGAUUAAGAUACAAACAUCACUUCUGAUCUGAUUAUGUUGAAAUAGUAGACAUGUUAUUCUGUGUGCCCUGCUGGUCUUCUUUUAUAACAGAAAUACUUUUAAUACGGUGAUACAGACCGAAAUCUAACGUUUGAUGCAUGUCAAAUGAGAAAUUUAAUUGUGUCAUGAAAACUAGAUAUCGAAAGGAGUUUAUGACAUUUUUUUCAAAUUAAAAAUGGUGCUUGAAUGCAUCACAAAAGGCUUUGUUUUGCCUUUUUUUUUUUUUCAACUGUAAGCUAAAUUGUGUCAACCUGGGAAAGUAAUUUGCCAUAAAUUUGAGAAUAUGCUUAUAAUGACUUUUAUGCAAACCAAAAAGGGGGGGAAAAAAAGAAUUAUCACAGCAUAUAACGGCUUUCUGGAUCCAAACAAAUUUGUGAAAACAGCCUAAAUACUGGCUUUCAUAUUUCUUAAGAAUAAAAUUCAUGCGCUAUUACACUUACAAACUUUUGAUCUUGCAAACGUACCAUUUUUGCAUAAUUUUUAAGUUUCAGAUCCUGUGAACAACAGCUUCAUAUUUAUUAAAACAAAAACAAUUAAAUGCAUUCCAGAUUCUUUAAAUUGUGCAUUUUAAAUCCCAUUAUUCACUGUCUGCUGCAUGUUUGGCAGAUUGGCACAAAACUGUUUUUUUUUUUAAAUAUAUAAUUCUUUCAGGCGUGACAAUGCAAAAACUGAUUGCGUUUAAGAUAUUUAAAAAAUAAAAUAAAAUAUGGAAGCAAAUUUGGCUCGCCAGACAAAAAUGAAAACAGUAAACAAGAACAGAGGCAGCAGCCUGGAGGAGAAAGUUUUCCAGCAAGAUUAGCGCAGAGCUGCAUGCCAAUGCAUGGCCGUAUAGGCUGCACUCAGGCUGAAAUGUGUGACAAAGUCUGCAAAUAUCCGUGUGACCCUUUGAGAACACACACUUUCAGCACAGCAGGAACAUGUGCUGCAAAAAUAUGCCAGAAAAAAAUGUAAAUAAAAUUCUGCCCUCUCAGAAGUGUUUUAAGUAACCACAUUUUAUUAUUCAGCAGUAAGAUUAAAAUUUGUUCAAAUAAAUGUAAGGAAAGAGAAGCAAAGAGUUCUUAAAAUGAUUAUUCUAGACAAAACAUAAUUUGCAUCAAAAUGAGAUCAGAUCAGUUUUGAAGUUUAGAAAAAAAAAUAGACACUUGUUGCCCUCUGCCAAACGGUGCUAUAACGGUGGCUGUUUUUUUUUUUUUUUUUAGCUCUUAUGAGUUGUUUUAAAGCAAACUCAAGUGUUAUUCUUGUUGCAGUAAAAUAGGAUCACGUGUAAAUAAUUGUUUUAACUUGUCAGAAAUAUCUUAAAAUUCACUCUUUUCCAGCUUUUUGCAAAUUUUUUAAGAGUGGAAAACAAAGCGUAACAAAUUCUUUACUUGGCUGAAUCUCUUCAAAUAAUGAUGAAAAAAAGAGUUCUGCUGAGACAUAACAGCAAUUUUAAGCAUUUUCUUGCAAUACAACGAUAUGUGCUGCAAAAAGGAGAUUUCCGUCUUUGCAUAUUGUUUUGAAUGAAAGAGGGGGUGGGGGGGCAACACCCGCCAUUUUCUGAUGGGUCUCAACACACAACAAAAUCUGAGCAGAAAACAAUAUGUAUAUUUUUUUUCACAUUUUUCUCAUAGUUUUGUAAAACACCUUAAUGCAACAGAAACCCUUCUGCUUCCACCUUAACUGCAGCUGCCUUAACGCAAAGAUUGCUUGCAUCAGUUCAGUUACUGCAAGACUCUCCUUCAACAUGGCGUUCACAGCCAGUGUUCCCUCACUCUCUGGCUGUCCGAAGCGGUCAGUCGCAGGGUUUAAAUGGUGCUAAAUUAAAUACAUAUAUAUAUAUGUAUAUACACGGAAAGAAAAGGAUUGGUUUUAAAUAUAUAUAUAUAUAUUUUAAAUGUACAGUAAAAUAAAAGCAGUCUCACCGGAAAACAGAAGCUCUGGACUCACUGUAGCCUAAAGGGGGUUUGUUUGCGCUUUGGAGACGCAGACUAUAUCUUGGAGAGAGGCCAAUAACGGCUCAAAGUUGGGCUAUAAGCUGCGUUUUACUUAAACAAUCCACCUCCCCCCUCUUUUUCCUCCUCCCUCAGCCCUUUCCCCUUAGAAAUAGUCCCCCCCCCCCCCCCGCCAAAAAAGCAAAACGUGCAAAAGCAGCUUGAUUUCUUUGUCUAAUCUACAGCAAGCGCACGGGUCUUCCCCGCACAGGAUGCAGCUUUGCUCUGAAACUUUACGUUAGUGUGCAGCCCCUAUGGAAUUUGCCCUGAAACUCGGAAGAAGGAGACGUGGGGGAGGGCGGGGAGACUUUUUCUGUACAUUCCUCAGCGAUACAUUCACUACUCCUCCUGCAGAGUCUCCCCACACAAACACACACACACACACACACCCACACCCCCACACACACACCCAGAGUCAGAGAGAGGCUGCAGCCAUGCAUCAGUUCAUUUAAACCGACAGGGCGAGGAGAGAGAGUGCAAAUGGCUGCUGUCUAUACAUCCUGGAGCAACACAAAGAGCAAAAUCUGACACUUUCCAACCGACGGAGCAACUCUGCGUGGGCUCCAUUGUUUUGGAUAGCGGUGGAAAUUAUUAAAGAUUAACACCUUGGGGGGAGGGGGGGGGUGUUUUUGCCUACAUUGUUUAAACGCUAUUUAAAUAGCUUACACGGAUCGACAGGGAAUAAAUGUCUUAAUUUGAAUUUGAUGAAAUAAUUCUUAUGAGACUUUAUGGGAGUUGCAAACUUCGCUAGACGUAUCCUGUAUUCAAAAGUUUUAAGGAUAUUUAAUUAAAUGCGUUCUCUUUAUUAUUAUUAUUAUUAUUGUUAUUAUUAUUUAAAUAACCCUGCUUAACGAGAGCAGCCGCAGGGAAAGUAAAGGGCGGCGGGAACUUGUUGAAAAAGUUGAGAACCGUUAGAAAAAGCAGCCCGGAUCUGGCGUGUUUCGUUCCAUCUUUAGGGUUUACGGCGGAGCCGAGCGGAGGAAACGCGGCCGGAGACGCACAGUUGGCGCGCUGAUUCAUAUAGAAUAGUCGAAGCCGGGGAGCCAAUGAGCGAGCGCGGCUGAGGCCGAGCCGGCAGCGGUAGCGCGAGGAGGCUCCGCGCCGCGCUGAUUGGUCGAGCAGGUUAGCCAAUCGGAAGGCGCGGUGUGUUUGCUCAGGAGCAGGGAGAAGGGGAGGAAGAGGAGGAGUACCCUCAGAGGCAGACAUGGCCCCCAGAGUCUGAGCCGCUGGAUGAAGGGCCCACUGAAGCAACACUUCCCCUUUGUAACCUGCUUUUAGAUGAGUAUGCACAUGGAGAUAAACACUGCAGGGAUAUACAGUAGCUUUCAAGAGUCUACACGCCCCAGGUUUUGUGACAUAAAAAAGUAUUUUCAUUACUUUUUUUCCCCCCCACCAUAUAAUUUGAAAUUUACUAUGUCUAAUUUAACUUAUAAACAAACAAAUCUGUAAGCAGGACUACUAUAAAGAAUGAUAAAACAUAUGCAACCCAAUAGCACACGUGUACAAACCCUUAAUACUUUGAUGAAGCCUAUUCAAUUUCAAUAUUCUGUCUUCGUUGGUCGGAACCUAUCAUCAAACACUCAUUUGCAAAAGUUCAGCAACUCCAUCAGAUUGUGAGUACACCUUCCAUCCAGUCAAUAAUCCAGGUUAUGGUCUGUGAAAUUUAAUUCUAAAUUCUGUCUUUUUAAUUUCAAAACAUACACAUUUUUUUUCCCGUUAUCUCUUUAUUCUGAUGUAUAACUCCACUCUGAAGCUAACGAAUGAAACUCCUUGUCAUCUUCAACGCCUAAAACGUGAAAUGACUAGGUCAGAAAUGACUAGUAUCUUCAACCAUUCAUAAUUUUAACCUCAGAUCUCGGUUCUGCCACCGCCGUGUUUCACUGUGGCGGUGGUGUUCUUUUGUUCAUGUUCACUGUUGUUAUUGUGACAAAAUGUCACAAUAACAGCCACGUUAGGGCGAUAACUUUAGAGUCAUCGCCCUAAAGUUAAAGUUUGGCUUUAAUCAAUUAUGAGACAUGGUUCCACAAACUUUCAGAAAAUAUUUUUGCUAUUUUUUUGAUGAUUUAUUUUUUUUGGAAGGAAAGACUCAGAAAAGUUUUACUGCCCUGACUCUUUGUCCAAGCAUGAGGAGAACAGCGAACAUUUUUGUCAUGUCUAGAAAAAAAAAAAAACUGAACUUUGCAUAAAUUUCUGCCGCUUCAUCAGGGCUACUUCCAGUCUCUGUGCCAGUUUCAAUCCUUUCAGCCAUUUUGAGGAAACCUUCAGUUUCCCAUAAUUUGUUCCACUAGUCAUAACUGUCUUUAUUGUCCCGUUGUUUUUACAUAGUGCAGUAGAUUUUUGUAUCUUUCUCCUGGCUGAUUUGUACAAGACCAUUAUUUAUCCGUUGCAAACUCUCACCAAACUGAGGCUUUCGCUAAAUAAUUCAAUGAGCAAAUGUUACACAAAUUCUUCUGGGACAGCUGAGCUUUAUUUUGGUGUAAGCGAGAUUCAACAAGUUGGGCAUCAGUGUGUACCAUGGAAGGCUAAAGGCUGACCCUCGGCAAAAAGGCGUACUUUUAUUUUUGUUCAUUUUUUUUCAGCUGAACUGCACAGGUUGUAGGUAGAAAUAAGGCUUGGAAAAUAUUUUGAAAUUAUUUAUCAUAAUAUAAAUUUUUGCAUCACAACAACCUGCUGUAUUAACUGGGCGUAUUGAUCAUUUAUUGCUUAACAGUAACCAACACCAAUUAUCCAGCAGCUAACAGGUCAGGCAUUAGCAAGGGCUUUCUGACACAAUAACCCUUAACCCCAGUUGUUGUUUUUUUUGUUUUGUUGUGUUUUGUUUUUUUUGGCACCAGUCACCUUUACUGAAGAGCUUUAGACAGUAAAGAAACGGGGAUGACAUGCAAUAAAUUGCCCAAAAUCAGGACUUAAACCCGGGACAAUCACCUCAAGAACUGUAGCCCCUACAAGUGGUGCAUGUGGUCUACCAUCUGAGCCACACAAACCCACGGCCCCAAGGUUUUUAAGAUCCCAAAAUCAUCUUUUGAAAUGUAUUUGUGAAUUGCGAACUCUGUUUUUUAUACAUUUCCAAAGAAAUUCAUAUCAAGUCAGGCAUUUUAAUCUGUUGGAUUUUUGUGCAGAGAACCAAAACACAACUACUUACAAGUGUCGCUUCAAGGAUGGCAAAUGUGACAACAGCAGGCUUUGGUUUCGAUGUAUUUCUACGGGUGCAUGACAUUGCCACAAACAAGUCUGGCAUAGUUGCAGUAUAAUUUCUGUUUUGUUUAUUUUAUUUAUUUAUUUUUUUGUAACAGAUAAAGAAAUUUAAAGAAAUUAUUACAUUUUUAAGAGAAUGUAUUUAGAAAAGACAAAAUAAAGCUAAAAAAAACUCUAUUUUAGUGAAGGUGUAAAAACUUUAAGUUUUUUUGUACCUAACUAACAAUCUGUUGUAAUUUGCUUAAGUUAAAAAGGCCUAUCGGUGGGCGGGCACCAAACAUGGGGUCCUCCUAAUUCCGGCCCUGAGUAUAGCCACUUUACUGUUUGACUUAAUAAACCAGUUUUUCUUUAAAGGCAGAUUUAUUUAAAAAGAAAAAUACGAUUGUAAUUAUUGCUGCAGUUCUAAAAUACAGUUUCAUCCAUUUUUACAAAAUAUUUGUUUUUGCUUGUAAAAUAAUUCCACCCAAGUCAACUCCUGCUUUUUUACUUAAAGGUGGUAAACUAGUUGUUUUGUACUCAGUUGAUUUUCCUAGAAUGCAAUGUAAAUCUGCGGAAACAUGAUCUAAACAAAUCAUACACCACAGAACUGAUAAUAGAGUAGCUUUGCUUUCAAAACCACUAAACCCACAGUGAUAUACAAGGCAUUGCUUUAGCAGUAAGUAACUAUUGUGAAUACACCUUGUUAGAAAGGUUAUUGAAUUUUGUCCACAUAAAAGUAGUUUCUCUGGAACUAUUUUUGUUUUUUUCUUUCUGAAAAGGAAAUUAACACAAAAACGACCUUGAAGAUUAUAGUAACUAUGGAUGGUUAUAUAGUAGCAAUGUAGCGUAGUCAUACAGGUACACGGGGAAAAGAAGGCGUGGAACAUAGUGCCGCCCUUACAAGUUGCCGCCCUGAGUGGUUGCCCAUGUCUCCCAUAUCAGAAACAGCCACAGAUCCAAAGAAUUAGUACAUCUCGCAGUAAAACAGACUAGCGCUUUUCUGAAUUUUAUAAAUUAAAAUGUCUGCAAAAUAUCAGUUAUUAUAUGUAAAUAAAAAGACAACAACCUUAGUGUCCAGAGUUAAAAAAAAAAAACUGUUGACAAAUCUUGCUGUGAAGGAUAUCAUAUUUCAAGUUCCUUGCAUUCACUCCAAAUAUAUUUGAGUGAAUGACCUCUCUUUGCAACUUAAUGCCUCAAUUUGAUAUGGAUUUUAGUGGCUGACAUGCUGAAGCACACAGAGAGCCCUGGAGAAAUCAUAUGGGGGGGGGGAGCAAUGGGUACACAAGCCUCAUUGACAGCACUAAGACCCUCCUCAUGGUUCUGAUUGGUUGUUUCUAGCUCCUCUGCCUGAAAGAAGGCAGACGAGCUAGAUUUUUUUCUCUCACAAAUUUCUGUGACAACAUAGUGACAAUUUCAAAAAAUAUGUA